rnacentral:rRNA from 1 species
UUCCGUAGGUGAACCUGCGGAAGGAUCAUUACCGAGUGCGGGCCCUCGUGGCCCAACCUCCCACCCUUGUCUCUAUACACCUGUUGCUUUGGCGGGCCCACCGGGGCCACCUGGUCGCCGGGGGACAUCUGUCCCCGGGCCCGCGCCCGCCGAAGCGCUCUGUGAACCCUGAUGAAGAUGGGCUGUCUGAGUACUAUGAAAAUUGUCAAAACUUUCAACAAUGGAUCUCUUGGUUCCGGCAUCGAUGAAGAACGCAGCGAAAUGCGAUAAGUAAUGUGAAUUGCAGAAUUCCGUGAAUCAUCGAAUCUUUGAACGCACAUUGCGCCCCCUGGCAUUCCGGGGGGCAUGCCUGUCCGAGCGUCAUUUCUGCCCUCAAGCACGGCUUGUGUGUUGGGUGCGGUCCCCCCGGGGACCUGCCCGAAAGGCAGCGGCGACGUCCGUCUGGUCCUCGAGCGUAUGGGGCUUUGUCACUCGCUCGGGAAGGACUGGCGGGGGUUGGUCACCACCAAAAUUUUACCACGGUUGACCUCGGAUCGGGUAGGAGUUACCCGCUGAACUUAAGCAUAUCAAUAAGCGGAGG